UACGGGGGGGGCAAGCGUUGUUCGGAAUUACUGGGCGUAAAGGGCUCGUAGGUGGCCAACUAAGUCAGACGUGAAAUCCCCAGGCUCAACUUGGGAACUGCGUCUGAUACUGGAUGGCUUGAGACCAGGAGAGGUGAGUGGAAUUCCCAGUGUAGCGGUGAAAUGCGUAGAUAUUGGGAGGAACACCAGUGGCGAAGGCGGCUCACUGGACUGGUACUGACGCUGAUGCGCGAAAGCGUGGGGAGCAAACAGG
rnacentral:rRNA from 1 species